rnacentral:rRNA from 1 species
GACGAACGCUGGCGGCGUGCUUAACACAUGCAAGUCGAACGGAAAGGCCCUGCUUUUGUGGGGUGCUCGAGUGGCGAACGGGUGAGUAACACGUGAGUAACCUGCCCUUGACUUUGGGAUAACUUCAGGAAACUGGGGCUAAUACCGGAUAGGAGCUCCUGCUGCAUGGUGGGGGUUGGAAAGUUUCGGCGGUUGGGGAUGGACUCGCGGCUUAUCAGCUUGUUGGUGGGGUAGUGGCUUACCAAGGCUUUGACGGGUAGCCGGCCUGAGAGGGUGAUCGGGCACACUGGAACGGAGACACGGUCCAGACUCCUACGGGAGGCAGCAGUGGGGAAUAUUGGGCAAUGGGCGAAAGCCUGAUCCAGCCAUGCCGCGUGUGUGAAGAAGGUCUUCGGAUUGUGAAGCACUUUAAGUUGGGAGGAAGGGCAGUAAGUUAAUACCUUGCUGUUUUGACGUUACCAACAGAAUAAGCACCGGCUAACUUCGUG